AAGUCCUUUGUCAAAUAUAUUUUUGAAAAAAUUUUCCCCAGAUUAUGGUAAAUGUGUAUGCUGAAUGCUUAUAUUAAGAUGGAAAAAAAGGUAGAAAGUAAGUGAUCUAAGUUCUCCACCUUAAGAAGCUAGAAGAAGAAGAGAAAAAUAAACUCAAAGUUAGUAGAAGGAAGAAAAUAAUAGAAUAAGAACAGUGGCUUCCACUUCUGCAAAGUGGAGUAGACAUAAUACUCUCCACACCUCCUGCUAAGUACAACUAAAACCCUGGACAUCACAUAUAAAACAGACAAGAUGAAAUGUAAGCGAGAAGGCAGGGACUUGGGACCCAAGGAACAACACAGUGACACAUUAACUGGGUUUUCUUUCAGCCUUCUGUAUCUCAGACUCGAAAGAAGCAGGCAACCUAGAAAUGCCAACAGAAGCAACAAAAAGCCACAAAAGCUUACACUCUGUAGCCCAAGGACUGGGAAAGAAUCAGCCUAGCAAGGGAGAUCCUGUUUAGAUAAAGACUACUCUACUCCAGCCAGACGCCACAGAACAAGUGACCCCAUCACCACCAGGAAAGGCGGAAAGGGGAGUGAGGAGUGUGGGCUUCCAUCCUCACCAGACUACACCAGCAUGUUCCAGCUUCCUACCCGGUGGUGACAGAGAAACCUGAGGACGGAGCUGGGGCAUUUGUCCCCCUUGGCUGGUAAUGACCUUCCUCUCCUGCCCCUCAGCCCCGACCAUGUUAGCUCUGUGAAAGGCUCUGUUAGGAGGAUGAAAAGACAAGCUACAGGCUGGGAGAAAACAUUCACAAGCAGCAUAUCUGAUGAAGGACUGCUAUCUGGAAUACAUAAAGCAUUCUCCAAACUCAAUAGCAGAAAACAGUCCAAAUCGAAAAUGGGCAACGACAGGAAGAGAAUUCACCAGAGAGGAUAUGCAGAUGGCAAGUAAGCACACAGAAAGAUACUAAAACAUCAUUAGCCAUUAGGAAAAUACAAAUGAAACCAUAAUGAGGUAUCUCUACACCCUCCCUUGAAUGGCUAAAAUAAAAAAUCCUGACAACACCAAAUACUGACAAGGAUGUGGAGAAACUGGAUCACCCACACAUUGCUAAUGGAAAUGCAAAAGGAUGCAAAAAAUUUGGAAAAGUUUGGCAGUUUCUUGAAAAAGUAAGGAUGCAACUAUCAUGAAUCCAGCAGUUGUACUCCUGUGCAUUUAUCCAAGAGGGGCAAAAAGACUCCUCCAGGCUCCAUCCUACAGUUGACUCACCUACCCUAGGAGAAAAUAAGAAUCACAUUAUCUACAGCAAUAACAACUGCCCUGAAGUUCUUUGUGCCAGGCACUAUGUUAAGCACCUUAAGUGCAUUAUCUCAUUUAAACUUCCCACUAGACCUCUUGUCUGGUAAAGGACCAUUAUUAUCAUUACCUCCACUUUCUGGAUGAGUAAACAGGCUCAGAGGGCUGUGCUCAAGGCCACGCAGCUAGUAUGCGACAAAGUCAGGAUCUGAACCCAGGUAAUACUAGUAAGUGCUUUAACCUCGCAUUGUCAUUAUCGUCCAUGUCACAGGCGAGUAAACAGUGGGAGGAAAGGUUAAGCCAGUUGUCCCAGGACGCGCAGCUGGGAAGGCGCGAGGCUUAAACCCAAGGCCACGCUGCCUUUACGCCAGCAGUCCGCGCCCUUAGUUCUUGUGCCCUAACGUCCCCCAACAUUCCCCGGCCUUUUUCACCCGGUUCCCGGGGAGCAGGCGCCACCCAUUUCCCCAGGGGGAGUAGGGAGAAGGCGGGUCCCCGGGCGCAGUCCCCUCCCCGACCGUUCCCCAGCUUUAAGCCUGCGCGGGGCCAGGCGCGGACAGUCCCGAGCCGGUCCGCUCCGCCCGGCGAUCGCGCAGAUGGCGGCGCUGGCGGCUGUGGCCAAGAAGGUGUGGAGCGCGCGGCGGCUGCUAGUGCUGCUGUUCGCCCCACUCGCGCUGCUGCCGGUGGUCUUCGCCCUGCCGCCCAAGGUGUCUGUGAUCGAGAGGACUGGCCCUCAUGGACUUGUCCCCCUGGCAACUGGUGAGCUGGUCUUCAAGGAGACUGGGGUUAAUCUGGUUAAGAUGGAGGGAACAAUUCUUAUAUUAUGUCCUCCUGGCAUGAAACAAAAUGCUGUCAGUAGAAAUGAAAAGGAGUGGGCCACACAUCUGGGAUGCAGUAGUUGCAAUUUCCAGCACCACUAGGGAUCCCAGCUCUUGCUACAAAGAGACUUAGAAAAGUCAGGAUGCUACUGGAGGAACCACCUCAAGUUCCAAAAAUGGCCAUCCUGGGAGUUGGAGGUUUGGGUACUGGCCUUGGGCAGUCAGUGGGGACAGACAAGACUUGUAAAGCAAGCUUGCAAUAAGCACCCGCCUCAUGUGUUUGAAGAGAAAUCUUGUCCCCUUUUCCACCUUGCACCCCUACAAGCAAAUUCAGCUGGACUGAUCAUUUGGCCCAGGUGAGUUCUUGCAGUGGAUACUCACAGGUGACUCUUGGGAAGGAUGCUUUGAGGAAGAGGCAUUUGGCAGUGCUCUGCACAGGGGGCCUUGAGGAAGCAAGCAAACUGCAGCUGAACAAGCCUGCACUCCACAUACCAAACCGUGUGCCCCGAGGCAGUGCUGGGCCUGCCUGAAGAAGAAUUUCUUUCCCUAAUCUGCACAAGGGUAUAAAGUCUGGCUAGCAGUAGGUUAGCUGAUCUUUUUAGGGGACAGGGGUAUACCACCAGUAGGGUCAGAGGUCCAUUUUUUUGCAUUUGCCUAAUUCUUGUGUGGGAUGUUAAGGUGGAUGACUAGGAAAAUGGUCAUUUCAUUCCCAGUUUUGAGUCUUUGAAGUCAGAACUGGAUUCUUAUUGUACAUAUUCUUAUUGUACGUAUUCUUAUUGUACAUAUUUGCUCUGUGACCUUGGGCAAGUCAUUUUGCUUCUCUAAAAUUCCGUUCCUUCAUUUAUAACAUGGCAUAGUAUCACCUUCCUCCCAGGUUAUUAUUUGGGCCCAGUGAUAUCAUGUAUUAUGCCCUCACCAUAACUUCUUACUUUUUGUUCAAUGCUUAAGAGAUGUUUUAACUCUCCCAUUUAGCAGAUGAGGCAACUGAGACUCAGAAAAGUUAAAUGAUGGAAAGAGCACAAGCCUUACAGUUGGAAAGACUUGGGUUUGGGUCUUGACUCUAAAACUCUGAGACAAGGGAGCCUGCGUUUGAGACUUAGCAUCUUUGAGUCUCAGUUUCCUCAUUUGUGAAGUUGGGGAGGACUCACAGCCCCCCAAAGGGCUGUUGUGAAACUUAAGUAGGAAAAGACACAGAAAUGGUCCAGUGCAGUGCCAAACACAGUGGGGGUUUAUAAUAAUAACUGCUAAAAAAUUUUUUCCUCUUUAUCUGAUGCUGUUUUACAUGCCUUUCACAUUUUAGUUCACUUGCUCUUCACAUCAGCCUUAAGGAGUGGGAAUAAUGAUUAUCCCCAUUUCUACAGAUGAAGAAAGUGAGGCACAGAGAUGUUAGGUAAUGUUCCUGAGGUCUCACAGCUGCUUAAUAUUGCUCCAAUCACUCACCUCUUGGUCCUGGUUUUAGAAGAGGUGGCCAGGGUUCUGAGAGGUCCUUGCAUAUUGCCCUAAUACAGGCUUCCUGUAAAACAACCUAAGUGUAGCCCUUUAGAUCCAACACCUUCUCUAGCCAGAUACUGCCUAGUGCCCUUAACUUGCAUCUCAUUGAACCCAGAGAGCUCGGACAAGGAAUUUGUUCACACAAACCCCCCAAACAGAGUAGGGAUUUGGUUUCCAUCAUCCAAAUACUGCCCACAACAUUUUUGCCAGAUCCCCUUACCACUCAAUAUUUUUACUUAAUUGCAUUCCUAUCGUUUACUGGUUUGUUUUUUACAUAAUGCCUUACUGCCCUCUCCUUCUUUAAAAAAAAAAAGAAGAAGAAGAAACCUAAAUAUAAUGACUUAAAAAGGAAAUUUUAUGUCAGAACCAUGUAUGGAAAAGCAGGAUCAUGAAUGACUGGUAGAGGAAAAGUAGCAAUAAAUAAAUAAAUAGCCAAUGUUGAUUAAUUCUGGCUACAUACUGCUGCCCACUUGAAGCCAAGGGCCUGACACCUGCCCUUUCUUUGUUACAAAGGGAAGGAAAUAAUCAAAGAGAUGCUGAAGGGAAGCUAGUACCAAACUGAGACUUUGUUUUGGAAGGAAUGAGAAGGAAGAAUCAGAAAGGGAGGAACCUCGGUGUUCUUUACGGUCCAUAUAUGAAUGAUCCAAGGUCUUUCAGAGAUGGCCUCUUUCACUUCAAGAAAGACGGGACUUGUAGCCUGCAUAUAUGCCUUGUCUGGAGAUUCACGAGGUUGGCUGUCAGCCCUGGCUGCUUGAUUCCCUGGUCUGUAAAAUGAGAUGAUCUUCUUUCCACCAAGACACUUGGCGGCUGUUAAGUGGUUGGCCCAGCAGUGGCCAACCAAAGAUGUCAAAAUCCUAAUUCUCUCACCCUGUGCAUGUUACCUUACAUGGAAAAAGGGGCUUUGCACAUGUGAUCAAGUAAGGCUGUCAAGAUGAGGAGAGUAUUUUUGAUUAUCCUGGUGGAUCCAAUGACAUCACAGGGUCUUUCCAAGAGGAAGGCAGGAGGGUCAGUCAGAAGUCAACAUGAUGUGGGCCCACAAGCCGAGGAAUGCAGACAGCCUCUAGCAGCUGGAAACUGGCAAGGAGCCGAUCUCUGCUGGGAGCUCCAGAAGGAAUUAGCCCUCAAGACACUUUGACUUGAGCCUGGUGAAAAUGAUUUCAGAAUUCUGGCCUGCAAAACUGUAAGAAAACACCUUCUUGUUGUUUUAAGCCACUGCAUUUAGGUAAUUUGUUACAGGAGCAAUGGGAAAUGAGUACAUGGCAGAACCACAUUCAGGGAUGCUUCCCGUCAUGGCCUUUUGUUCUUAGAAUGCAAAUCCUGGUAUUCAGGAGAGAGCCUGGUUUGGCAGAAAAAGCCAUGGACUCAUCUGGAUGUGAAUUCAGCUCCAGCUUCUGUCCUUCAUGAGUGAUGUGAUUCAGAAGAGUGUCUCCACUUCUCUGAACAGGUUUCCCCAUCCGAUAAAUGGAUUUUUUCAUAGUCCUAUUCCUCAAGGGAUUUUGUGAUGAAGAAAUAAGUUCACAUAUGCAAAAAAUACACUUCAGAUACACAUACAUCUAACCUUUACACAUUUUUUCUUAGAGGGAUCUUUGAAGCUGAUUUGGGGGAAAACGAGAUGCUUGUAGCAUUUGAUGGAAUGAGCUACGUGGAAAUGGUCAGUUCUAACUAAGCCUUGGUUGUCUCAUGGAAAUUGGGUCUGAUCAUAUGAAAAUAAGUUCGCAUGUUUGAGGCACGUCAUGACAUGCUGGCUCACAGUAAGCACUCAAUAAACAUCAGCUAUUAUUAUUGCA